rnacentral:sRNA from 1 species
GUUGGGCAUUGUGGUGGGUGCCUGUGGUCCCAGCUACCUGGGAGGCUGAGGCAGGGGACUCGCUUGAGCCCAGGAGUUGGAGGUUGCUGUGAGCUGUGAUGCCAUAACACUCUACCCAGGGGGAUAGCUUGAGGCUCUGUCUCAAAAAAAAAAAAAAAAGUUUUCAGUUUUUUUUGUUUGUUUUUUGAGACAGAAUCUCAAGCUGUUGCCCUGGGUAGAGUGCCGUGGCAUGAUAUCUCACAGCAACCUCCAACUCUUGGGCUCAAGCAAUCCUCUUGCC